UUGCGCAUGGCCAUCACUGCGAGACGUAACCACAUCAACCUUUUCAAGAAUUGAUUUGCUUUUUAUUCUUUCCUUUAUUCCAAAUGAAUUUAUGUUCUAUUUUUUCAAACAAGCAAAGUGCCCUUCGACAUCCGAAGCUUGCACACAAUGGGAAUCUUAAUGGCAUUUCCAGAUAAUAUUGCAUUUUUAUUCCGACCUGAGAAUGUAUGCUUACUUGAUUAGUACUGAAUAUCAUCACAUAAUUUAAUUCAGUUUAUUUGUUAGGUAUAUCAAGUUCGUAAUUAACUUUUAAUUAAAAUGUACACCAAAACGUGCAUUUCUUGUGAACAUGGAUUACCAUAAUCUUUUAUGCAUACAACGAGAACAUUAUGCUACAAACCUACAAGCUUUGACUAGGCUGAUACAAAGUUGUUUCUGCUUCUUUAUCUCUAUAUCAUACUAGCGGUAGACCCACCCAAGGAGAGCAGGGGACAGAGAACAGGUUUCUGGUUGGAUUCAUGCAUCUCUAUCCUUUCGGUUCAUGGAUUCUCGCUUUGUUUGGAGACUACCUGCAUAAUAUGUCGCUGAACCAUAUUUUGUCUUGACUUUCUAUUUUUUUCUGCAUUAUUUAUUGUCGCAUAUGCAUCUGACUGAAUCUGAUUUUUAGUAAUUUCAAAUAACUGUCAUUUGGUUGAUGGUAUUGGAGGUUAUGGGUAAUCAUGUUUGUGUUACAGUUGGUGGUGCGAAUGGGCAUUAUUGUUUCCUCUGUUAGCAGAUGUAGAGUUCCUCUGAUUUUAAUUGCUAGAUUUUACAUUUUUUUUUAUAAUUUUAGAAAUCUGUAUGGCUAACUAACACCUAUGUAGCAAGUGUUACAGAGAUGUUAGUAACCCAUUUUUUGUUGCAGCUAGCUUGUAGUAUUUUUGAUACUCCAAAAGUUCUUUUUACCUCUACCUGUUAGUUGCUGGUAUUUUAUCUGUCAAAUCUUAGCUCGGGUUUCAAUCGUAUGUAGUCCUGUAAUUUGUAACCAAUUACAAACCAUGGCAAAAAAGAUGUUCACGUAACACUACUUAUUUGGCAUCGUGUUCUUCCUUUUCAUGGGGAAUCAUAAAAGCAUAUGGAGGAACUAUGUAUAGGCUACAAAGAAGCAUAAGAAGCAUUUUUAUAGCAGAAGCCAAGUGUUCUGAUGAUUUUGUUUUUUCAAUUGUGUUUUCUGUUAUUGGUUCAGCAUGCACAUAUAUUGACAUGAUUUAUGGCAUGGCAUCUGCCAUCUUUGUUAUAUUUAUGACAUCGUUCUUGAUUGAUGUGUGCGACAUGAAUGAUGGAUCUUUUUAACAUCCUGACCAUCAUUGUGUCGCUCAUUAUCGUAUUUUGUAUAUCAUUUAUUGGUUCACGGAUAUGAAAUGACAGGUUUUUUA